rnacentral:rRNA from 1 species
UGGGGAAUAUUGCGCAAUGGGGGAAACCCUGACGCAGCAACGCCGCGUGGGUGAAGAAGGCCUUCGGGUUGUAAAGCCCUUUCGGCCGGGAAGAAGGGUGUACGUACUAAUAAUGCGUGCAUUUGAUGGUACCGGAGGAAGAAGCACCGGCAAACUUCGUGCCAGCAGCCGCGGUAAUACGAAGGGUGCGAGCGUUGUUCGGAAUUAUUGGGCGUAAAGGGUUCGUAGGCGGGAAUGUAAGUUGAGUGUGAAAACCCUGGGCUCAACCCGGGACGUGCAUUCAAUACUGCGUAUCUUGAGUUCUGGAGAGGGUGGUGGAAUUGCUGGUGUAGGAGUGACAUCCGUAGAGAUCAGCAGGAACGCCGGAGGCGAAAGCGACCGCCUGGCCAGAUACUGACGCUGAGGAACGAAAGCGUGGGGAGCAAACAGG